UCCUGCCAGUAGUCAUAUGCUUGUCUCAAAGAUUAAGCCAUGCAUGUCUAAGUCCAAGCUGUGUUCACACGGCGAGACCGCGGACGGCUCAUUAAAUCAGUCGUGGUCCAAAUGGGCCAGUGCAAAUCCUACUUGGAUAACUGUGGUAAUUCCAGAGCUAAUACAUGCAACUGAUAUCCCGAAGGCGGUGUUGGGGCUUGCUUGCCUUGCGCUGCGCUGCUCUGACGGAUGCUUUUAUUAGACCAAGCCGCUGAGGACUUGAGGGUUCGCGCUCUCUUGUUUGACUCGUGUGAUGGUGACUCUGGAUAACCAAAUUCUGACAAGCGCACGUACUUCUCUUCUGAGCGAGACGGCGCUGCCACUUUCGAGUGUCUGCCUUAUCAGCUAUCAACCGUUCGUUAUGCGCGACCGAUGGCUUUGACGGGUAACGGGGAAUCAGGGUUCGAUUCCGGAGAGGCAGCCUGAGAGACGGCUACCACGUCCAAGGACGGCAGCAGGCACGCAAAUUACCCAAUCCCAGCAAAUGGGGGAGGUAGUGACGAAAUCUAACGAUGCGGGCGCCCUUUCUGGGGCCCCGCAAUCGGAAUGGGCACUUUCUAAACAACCUGUUGAGAACCUACUGAA
rnacentral:rRNA from 1 species